rnacentral:rRNA from 1 species
GCAGAUGACUCAGCUUGCUGAGUUGAUGGCGACCGGCGCACGGGUGAGUAACGCGUAUCCACCUGCCCUUUACUCCGGGAUAGUCUCCUGAAAGGGAGUUUAAUACCGGAUGUGUCCGCAUGGGUAAAGAUUAUUGGUAAAGGAUGGGGAUGCGUCCCAUUAGCUUGUUGGCGGGGUAACGGCCCACCAAGGCAACGAUGGGUAGGGGUUCUGAGAGGAAGGUCCCCCACAUUGGAACUGAGACACGGUCCAAACUCCACGGGGGGCAGCAGUGAGGAAUAUUGGUCAAUGGGCGAGAGCCUGAACCAGCCAAGUAGCGUGAAGGACGACGGCCUACGGGUUGUAAACUUCUUUUAUAAGGGAAUAAGUUCGCCACGUGUGGUGUUUUGUAUGUACCUUAUGAAUAAGCAUCGGCUAAUUCCGUGCCAGCAGCCGCGGUAAUACGGAAGAUGCGAGCGUUAUCCGGAUUUAUUGGGUUUAAAGGGAGCGUAGGCGGGCUUUUAAGUCAGCGGUCAAAUGCCACGGCUCAACCGUGGCCAGCCGUUGAAACUGUAAGCCUUGAGUCUGCACAGGGCACAUGGAAUUCGUGGUGUAGCGGUGAAAUGCUUAGAUAUCACGAAGAACUCCGAUCGCGAAGGCAUUGUGCCGGGGCAGCACUGACGCUGAGGCUCGAAAGUGCGGGUAUCAAACAGGAUUAGAUACCCUGGUAGUCCGCACGGUAAACGAUGAAUGCU